AGCAGCGUAGCCUAUUGGAAAGAGCACAGACUUUGGAAGUCAGAAAAUCUGGGUUCUAAUCCCAGCUCUGCCA
rnacentral:tRNA from 1 species